CAUAAAAAAAACCUUUUAGAAGCUGCAGAGCAGGUUAUUCUGAAAGGAUCAGUUUUAUCGAAGUAACAAUUACAUGAUAGCGAACAGUGUUUCGAUAUAAAUAAUAAAGUGCAGCGUGAAGAACGUGUAAUAAUGUGAUCAACGAAGCCAAACGAAAUUACAUUAUACCGAAUGAAAAGAUCGUGAAGCGGUUUAACUAGCAGUUUCCGAGCGUAUAAUGAAAAAUUUGAUGGUAAUUUCAUCAGCGAACCGACCAUAAAAAUGAGUACGCUCGAACACACUGAUCGCUUUAAUCCCACGAUAAUGAAUAAGGAUGCACGAAACGAGGACACAUCCAUGUAUCGCAUUGAUUUACGUUAAAGGAAGCUGAUGGUCCCGCGGCAUCGGAAGCAUAACGAAAAAAGGGGCAAGAAGAGGCGUCGUCUCUCGUUGCGUUCACGGCAAACAGCCCAUAAGCGGCCAUACCAAUUUCACAUCUCGUCUCGAAUAAGAUGGUAGGGGGAUGAUACGAAUGCAUAUACAGAAUGCAUAUGAUGUCAUGGACUGUUUCGUUCGGUUUACUCAUGGCAAGGGUAAAGUCUCUUCGCGGACAAUUCUUAAUACCGCGAUAAAUAUUCGAGAGUGUUGGUAAGAACCACGGAGAUACGAGUACGUAGCCAGCCGUACGCGUACGUAAGUAGACGACAGAUCGCGUUUCUCUGUAUACGACCAUGACACUAAAUUACAGACUUAUACAGUGGUUGUCAAUCUGCAUUUACAAGUAAGAUCGUACCAUAUACGCGCGACGCGACGCAAUUAAUCAUCUUUUUCGUGUACUUGAGAAACCAGACUGCCCAGACCCAAUUCAAAGCGUCAUUGUCAUACCGAGUGAAAAGGGAACCCAGAAUUAGGACACUUGAUGCAAACACGAAAUAUGUAUCAAGGCAGAUUUCGUUGUCACAAAAGGUGACAGUCACCUGCGACGGUGUUGAUAUCAAUAGAAAUGUAAUUACGAUCUUGAUAUUAAUUUUGCGACGAAUUGAAUCAUGGUCAGGGGAUGAAUUGGUGCAUGACAGCCGAUACGAUGUAAUUUUGUUCGAUGGUUCAGGCAUAAGAUGAGACCAUAUGAUACGGAAAACUGUCGGGAGCUAUCGAUAACCGCGCGCGGAGCAAACCACAGGCGGCAUUGGCACGCACGUAAGGGACCCCUUAUCUCGGGAACAGAAACUACGGGGUCAAUACGUCACCGCUUUGUAAUCAGCCGCGUACCAUGCACGCUUAAACGGAUAAUCAUAUUGACCGCUCGCCAAUAUUAACAUUUUUCGGAAAGCCAUUGCAAGGAAUCGGCCUGCUAGCCUACAUAUUGCUCGAGUGCCCUCACACGCGAGCUCUAUCUUCUUCGCAUAGAGUUUUAUCGAGAUCAACGGAACAACGGGGAUCGUGCUUAUACAAGGACGCAUCCACGCGGACGGAUACACAUAUACUCGUAUAUCUUUCUAGCGUUGCAGAUGCGGUUACCAGAGAGAGAGUAUUGAUGAAACAAUAGAAAGUACAUGAACGCGGUACUGAAAGAACAGACCAUAUCGCGAUCCACAUACGCUCGGAAUGCGAAUGGUAGAAGUAAAUGCGAUGAAAAUCGAUCACAAUUGUCGCAUGAAUGCACCCUUAUAUUCGAGGCACGAUGUAAUAGAGGAUAUAUGUAUAAGCACGAUAGAUUACCGUUUAAAUAUGAAUGACUCCGUUUCUAUUUCCACUUUUGUUUUUUUGAAGAAUAAUUAAUUGCGUUAAUUGAUCGAUGCUUUCGUGCACGUUAAGGUCUUCAAAGGAAAUGCUACUCUUAUAUAUGAGGAAAUCGGAUCAUGUGUAGAGCCCCUGUAAAACGGCAACCGUUAUUACACCGCUGUCGGCUGUAUGGUAGCAUCAUUAGCGUUGUUUUUGUACGAAUCAAAUUUCAAGAAACUAGAAGACUGUAGAAAUUGCGCUUUCUGGAAGACAGAUCAAAGACAACCCACGUCCGAUUUCAUGUGCCAUGCACAAAGGCAUCUGUAUUACAUCGGAUCAAAGGGAGAAAAGAAUUUACUUUAUGUUCUUCGCUUAACGUACGAUCUUUCUUCUAUUUUACAUACGAGUUAAAUAGUUGAAAUGUUCUAAGAUAAAAAGCUGUUCACGAAUCUAAAAUAUCGUGUAUUCAAAUGUAACCAAUAUAAACGAUAUAACUUUUCAAACGAUACUUCAUAAUUUUUCAUCUUUUUUCCUCUUUCAAAUAGCUACAUAAUU